CUCACAGAGACUUUCAGAAGGAAGGUUAAAGUGAAACCUCAGUUGUCCUCUCAGGUAGAUGCAAUCGAUGGCACAGAGCUAAUUUAAAGAAAAAUAAGGAAUCACGAGUUUAAAAAAGUCAAGUUUAUUGUCAGUACCACACACAAAAGUGCUGGAGGAACUCUGCAUAUCAGUUGGAAAUGAAUAAGCAGUCGACGGUUCAGGCUGAGACCCUGCUCUAUUGUCUUCUGCACUGGCCUCCCAGAACAAAACAGAGACGCUUUCCAGCUCGUUGUCCAUUGGUGUGUGCUAGCUGUUACGGAACGCUGCAUCGCUAACUGCAGGGGGACCAGGAGAGCUGCUCAGGGUUCCUCACUACAUCAGGAAGGGAGUGUGAGCAGAGGAGACGACUGAAGGGGAUCUCUCAGUGGGGCACUUGAUUAUUGUCUGCUUGGGUGGGGCAGGAUGGGCACCCUGAGAGCUGAGGUGUUGGCGUUGGGUGCAAGCUCACUCCAGAAGCCAGAGGACAGAAUCCAGCUCUCAUAACCCCCAGGAAGAAAUGCAGAUACCACCAGAUCUGUAGGAAGUCUCUUUCUGCCCAACUGAAUCCUUGUAAGGAAAAGAACGUCUGAAUCUAAUCACUGUCCUACUUUCUGCACUGAAAGGAAAUUGAACUUAAGUCUAUAGCUGUGACAUCUGAUGCAAUGCUCUCAUACUUGUCUUUAAUUUGAUUCUGGUAAAUGUAUACGGCAUUUCUUCUGUGUCCAAAGAACUCUUCCUGAAGUUUAGUGGUAGGAACUUUUUCUAAUAAAUUUAUGGGACCUAGGCACCACUGGCAAGACCAGCAUUUAGUUCCCAUUCCUACAUGGCCUUGAGAAGGAGGUGGAUUAAGGAGUUACCUUCCUGAGCCUCAUGAAUCUACUGCAGAACUGGAGGUGGUCCUACCACUACCCCGAGCAACUGGAUUCCCAAUCCCACUGCCAUCCUCCAGUCUGAACCCCUUUUAUGCUCGGAGGAUGUUUGGUAUUGGCAUUGCUUUAUAAUUCUCAUAUGUAGUGAGACAGAGCGAAAAACUUAACCAUUCAUACAGAUCAUUUCAAAACGUAAGUACUUUGAGGUCGUACAAGGGAAAAACAAUAA